UACCGGGGAAGCGAGCGUUAAUCGUCGUUAUUUGGCGUAAAGGGUGUGUAGGUGGUCUCUCAAACAUCCGGUGAAAGUCUGGAUUUAAACUGCAGGAAGUGCCGGUUGUACGGAGAAAGACUCUGGGUCAAGUAUAGGUAGGGGGAAUUCAUGGUGUAAUCGGGGUAGAAUCCGUCAGAUAUCAGGAGGAACGUCGAUGGCGAAAGCACCCUGCCGGAUUUGACUGACACUGAGAUACGAAGGCAUGGGUAGCAAACAGG
rnacentral:misc_RNA from 1 species